GACGAACGCUGGCGGCGUGCUUAACACAUGCAAGUCGAGCGGUAAGGCCCCUUCGGGGGUACACGAGCGGCGAACGGGUGAGUAACACGUGAGCAAUCUGCCCUUCACAUCGGGAUAACCUCGGGAAACCGAAGCUAAUACCGGAUACGACCACCGAAGGCAUCUUCUGGUGGUGGAAAGUUCCGGCGGUGAAGGAUGAGCUCGCGGCCUAUCAGCUUGUUGGUGGGGUAAUGGCCUACCAAGGCGACGACGGGUAGCCGGCCUGAGAGGGUGACCGGCCACACUGGGACUGAGACACGGCCCAGACUCCUACGGGAGGCAGCAGUGGGGAAUAUUGGACAAUGGGCGAAAGCCUGAUCCAGCAACGCCGCGUGAGGGAUGACGGCCUUCGGGUUGUAAACCUCUUUCAGCAGGGACGAAGCGCAAGUGACGGUACCUGCAGAAGAAGCACCGGCCAACUACGUGCCAGCAGCCGCUGUAAAAC
rnacentral:rRNA from 1 species